rnacentral:rRNA from 1 species
UACAGAGGGUGCGAGCGUUAAUCGGAAUUACUGGGCGUAAAGCGUGCGUAGACGGUUAUUUAAGUCGGGUGUGAAAGCCCCCGGGCUCAACCUGGGAAUUGCAUUCGAGACUGAAUAGCUAGGGUACGGUAGAGGGAAGUGGAAUUUCCGGUGUAGCGGUGAAAUGCGUAGAUAUCGGAAGGAACAUCAGUGGCGAAAGCGACUUCCUGGACCAGUACCGACGUUCAGGCACGAAAGACGUGGGGAGCAAAGCAGGA